rnacentral:rRNA from 1 species
UACGUAGGGGGGCAAGCGUUGUCCGGAUUCAUUGGGCGUAAAGCGCGUGUAGGCGGCCAGGUAGGUCUGCUGUGAAAACUCGAGGCUCAACCUCGAGAUGUCGGCGGAAACCACUUGGCUAGAGUCCGGAAGAGGAGAGUGGAAUUCCCGGUGUAGCGGUGAAAUGCGCAGAUAUCGGGGAAGAACACCUAUGGCGAAGGCAGCUCUCUGGGACGGUACUGACGCUGAGACGCGAAAGCGUGGGGAGCGAACAGG